UAAUACGGAGGGAGCUAGCGUUGUUCGGAAUUACUGGGCGUAAAGGGCGUGUAGGCUGUUAGGUAAGUCAGAGGUGAAAUCCCUAAGCUCAACUUAGGAACUGCCUUUGAUACUAUCUUACUAGAGAUCGAGAGAAGUUGGCGGAAUUCCAAGUGUAGAGGUGAAAUUCGUAGAUAUUUGGAAGAACACCAGUGGCGAAAGCGGCCAACUGGCUCGUAUCUGACGCUGAGACGCGAAAGCGUGGGUAGCAAACAGGAUUAGAUACCCUGGUAGUCCACGCCGUAAACGAUGAGUGCUAGCCGUUUGUGAUUAAUCACAAGUGGUGCAGCUAACGCGUUAAGCACUCCGCCUGGGGAGUACGAUCGCAAGAUUA
rnacentral:rRNA from 1 species